UGGGAUAUUUUUUGGAGCAGCCUAGAAAGCUGAGCUGGUGCUGUCCUCCUUUUUUCCAAAUCACUGUGACAGUAAGAUAAUUACCAACAAAAACAGCUUUUUAUUUAUAGUGAUAAACACACUGCACCCUCUGAACUGUCACUCACAAUUUUUCCACAUUUUAGUGCCAACAUUUUCCUGUAAACAUUACAGAGCACAAAACACAGAGGCGUGGCCGAAACAGUGAGAACUACAUAAACAAAUUGGGUGAAGUGGUCCCUUCCUGAAACAAACACAACUGUUUCUGAUAUCGUUAGGCAGCGAGGCAGACACAGAGAGGAGGCAAUGGCACAAAAAUGCAAAUUUCAACGAGGAAUUGAGGUUUCAGGAUAGACUAAAUAGGUCCGAAAAGGGCAGAACGUGCCUCAAAGCGGCAUUAUUUUUAAUGGCUGACUGGAAAAAGAAGUCACACUGUAUUGAAGUGUAUGAAAAAUGGCCCUCUGUUCCCCUGAUCUAUGACAGGGGUCAGCAAUAUUUAUUAUCAAAAGGGAGCUGAGCCAUAAAUGAGCAUAUCAACAUUAUGAAUAGGUAUAAAUAAUUAAAACAAGUCUGCAGUUACUUUGUAUGACUAUUUGGUUUUUUAACUUUGCAUUUUCAUAACAAUAAUGCCACAUUCAUGUUGAAUUUAUAACAUUAUAGAACUAGGAUAAUAAAAAUUUAGUUAGUUAUUUUUUUUAUUAACCACCAAAGAGAACAUUUGUGAAGUGAAGGAAAAUCAGAUUUGUUUUAAGUAAAAAGAUCUGUUGGUAGUGAAAGCAAUCACAUUGUGUUUAUUAUAUUUAUUUCCAUAUACAGAUUAAUUUUUUAUCAAACCCAGAGGGAGGCACUGGACAUGGGCAAAAUAGCCACAGGUUUCUGACCUCUGAUCUAUGACCUCAGUAAAAAAUGAUUUCCUGAUGACAGUAUGGCCUCAGUGGCUACUUUUAAGUCAUACUGAAUACAAAAUGUUUUUAAUUUGUAAGUUACAGUAAAAUUAAAGCCAAAAAGAAAUAUACACUGGGUCAUAUGCAGUCCAACUGGUCACAUCACAGUGGCUGCAUCCAUCUUUGUGUCUCAUUUUUUUACUUUGUUUCAUUUAGAGGCUUAAACUAGCUAAGAGGUUUUCAUACAUGAAACAUCAGGAGUAUUCGGUCAGGACAUUACUGCUGAGAAUCCCGAGGAUCUGAAGUUGUGUUUGUUGCUUGCAGCUAUUUGAGAAGUCUUUAAAAGGUAUCACAUAUUUGCACCUUUGCCUAAAGCAGUGGUUCUCAAACUGUGGGAUGUAGAACCAGGGGAAAAUACAAAAUGAAACUAAUUGGAAUUAAGAGUAUGCUAAUGCUAUGUUUACCUUUAUUUACAUAAUAUACUUAUUCAGAUAAAAAUGUUGAGGGUUGUAAAAAAUUGUGGGGUAUGGGGCAUGCCAGAACAGGUUUGAAAACCACUGACCUAAAGCAGCAGGAUUCAUACGAGCAUCCCCAAAAAGAGAGGGGUGCGCGCAUUUAAAUAACCUCAUUCAUUAUUGAAAACUAAUUAAUUAUUACCAACACAAAAACAGCAUUAAUC
ensembl:lncRNA